rnacentral:lncRNA from 1 species
AAUACAAUUUGAUCAAGUAUGGCCGUAACAUGUUCUUUUCAGGGAAGAAUACAACUUGAUCAAGUAUAGCUGUAAAAUCUUCUAUUUAAGGCAAAAAAUACGAAUUAAUGAAGAAUCGCUAUAUUGUUCUACUUUUCUGUAUGCAAGUAUGGAACAAAUGAAGUAUAGCUAUAUCAUGCACUAUAGAUUAGAAAAAAAGGUAAAAAAUUCAGUAACUUUAGGUGUGAAACUUGUACAGGAAAACAACAGUAUGAAUGAACUAAUAAUAGCUGCAUAAAGAAAGGCAACAGUAGUAUACUGCUGUUCAAAAGUCAUAAUUUGAUAAAGGUAAAUAGAUUCGGGUUACCAACUUAAACUAAGGGAAAAUCGCAACUAUAAAAGGUAGAUCCGGGUUACCAACUUAAACUAAGGGAAAAUCGCAACUAUAAAAGGUAGAUCCGGGUUACCAACUUAAACUAAGGGAAAAUCGCAACUAUAAAAGGAAAACAACGUAUCAGCAGAAACACUGCUUUUAACAUUAACG